CGGUAGGUAGCAGUUGACGGAAGCGGUCGGUAGUGCGGCUGGUGCCUCGGUGAUCAAUGAACUCUGAUUGACGCGUGUCGGCGUGUGUCGAGGCGUGCUGGUAUUAGCAGUGGAGCGCAUUGGUGACGGCCCGACAGACAUGAUGACAUAAUAUAAACAUAUUAAUUGUUUAUUUUAAGAAAGUACGCAUUAAAUGAUUGCUCCGUAAAGCAGAGUAACAAAUGACCAAAAUGAAUGAUAUAGACAGUUUUGGCAUGAAGGGAGCCGGCUCGAAAAUGCCCCACAGUCAUUCGACGCCAGCUGGUGUAGACGGAGGUAGUAGAACACCCCCUGCAACACCACGAAGAGGUGGAAAGAUGCUGGCGGUUCGUGUACAGAUGUUAGAUGACUCUAUUACAAUGUUUCAAGUGCAGGCCAAAGCACUAGGCAGAUUAUUGUUUGAUCAAGUUUGUAGGCAAUUGCACCUUUUAGAAGCGGAUUACUUUGGUCUUGAAUAUCAAGAUUCAAAUUUUACAAAAUAUUGGUUGGAUUUAGAGAAACCGAUGUGUAGGCAAGUUGGUUUGUCUCUUAUUGAUCCACUUUUGAGGUUUUGUGUUAAAUUUUAUACGCCGGAUCCUGCACAACUUGAAGAAGAAUUUACGAGAUAUUUAUUCUGUCUGCAAAUCAAACGGGAUUUAGCUCAAGGUUUACUACAAUGCAAUGAUAACACAGCAGCCUUAAUGGCCAGUUAUAUUGUUCAGGCUGAAUGUGGGGAUUAUGUGAUAGAAGACUAUCCAGAUCAUACAUAUUUGUCAACAUAUAAGUUUGUGCCUCAUCAGGAUCAAGAGUUCGAACGACGUAUUAUGGAGAAUCACAAGAAACAUGCGAGUCAAUCUCCUGCAGAGGCAGAUCUCAAUCUCUUAGAAACAGCUCGACGUUGUGAACUGUAUGGGAUGAAAAUGCAUCCAGCUAAGGAUCACGAAAAUGUUCCAUUGAAUCUCGCAGUGGCGCAUAUGGGCAUUGUAGUUUUUCAAAAUUAUACUAAGAUAAAUACAUUUAGUUGGGCCAAAAUCAGAAAAAUCAGUUUUAAACGAAAACGUUUUUUAAUCAAAUUACAUCCUGAGGGUUAUGGUUAUUAUAAGGAUACGGUUGAAUUUUUCUUUGAGGGACGUAAUGAGUGUAAAAACUUUUGGAAAAAGUGUGUAGAAAAUCAUGGUUUCUUCCGUUGCUCUGUAGUUAAGAGAGUCGCAAGACAAAAGGCUAGAGUGCUUAGCCGUGGGUCAUCGUUCAGGUAUAGCGGUAAAACACAGAAACAAAUUGUUGAGUUUGUUCGAGAUAAUUAUGUGAAGAGACAAACAUUUCAAAGGUCCAAUUCGUUCCGGCAGACUAGCGGUGGUAGGGCAUUGCAGGGCUCGGAGGGGGGAGGCUUUCGUGGGGCCACUCCAAGCAGCUCCCUUAUGGGCAGCUCCAGCAUCUCUGCCCACCCCCUCCUGCCCCUCGGCGAUCCUGCCCUGGCAACACCAGCUCUGUCUCUGUCAUGCGGUUCGAUGACACUGGAUUCUCCGACGACUGUGACGAGUGUCUCGAUGGGAGGGAUUCACCGUCGAGAAGACACAGCUACAUCGUUUCGGACGCUCACCUCUAUCGACGUACAUUCUCCAGCCACCCCCAGCCAGGUCCCAGCACAGCGGCAGAUGGCUACCAACCAGCAACGGAUUUCAUCAACAGAUGUCCAAGCCGAAAAGCAGGAGAUAUCUGAUCAACGAGAGAACAAUAAUUCUGUAUAUGCCGCUGAAGAAUCGUCGGAUAAACGGACAGCAAACGGCGGAGUCGAGGUGAACAAUGCAAGUGUCAUAAAUUCACCGGAUCUCAGCCCGGUAAAGAAUGUACGAAAUGGGGAGGUAGAAGAAGUAGAAGUCAGAAAAACAAAGAGAUGGCCAACCGAUAAAGCUUAUUACAUAGCCAAGGAGCUUCUCAUGACAGAACGGACUUAUAAGAAAGACUUGGAUGUUAUUAAUGUGUGGUUUCGCGAGGAAAUUUCUAGAGAAGCGGCAUUAGAAGGAGAAUCAAUAAUCUCUCUCAUCGAGUUACUCGCCGAUGUGCAUGGACCUUGCCUCCAGGAAAUGGAGGUACGGCUGACACGCUGGGAGAGCAAUGCCCGUCAUAAUAUCGGUGACUUUUUGUACAACACGCUUUUGAACAUUCUACCUCUUUAUGACCAAUACCUGGAGAACUUGAUACCGGUAUUGGAGAAAAUGGAAUACUCCAUACGAACGUCGCGACGCUUCGAUCAACUCUGCCGUGAUUUUGAAUCACAGAAACACUGUUACUUGCCAUUAACUUCAUUCCUUUUGAAACCUCUACAACGAUUGCUGCAUUAUAACAGUAUUAUCGAUAGAUUAUUGGAUCAUUAUCCAAAGGAUCAUACAGAUUUCGAAGAUUGUUUGGCAGCAAGAGACAGACUCGGUGAGACACUGCUCGAGGGACUCACAAUUAUAAAUCAAGCGGAAAAUUUGGUGCAGUUAUGCGAAAUGCAAAGAGAUAUUACUGGUUUCGAUAAUCUAGUGCAAGGAGGUCGAAGAUUCAUAAGACAAGGAUGCUUACAGAAAUAUAGCCGUAAAGGUUUCCAACAACGGAUGUUUUUCUUGAUCACUGACAGUUGCAGCGAACAAUGAAGAAGAAAAAGAGAGGUGGAUAGAAGAUUUGAACAUGGCAAUUACACAGAUUGAUGCGUCAGAUGCGAAAAUGCCAUAUUUAAAUUUAAAGUCUUGUAUUUUAGGUUCAGCCGAUGAAGUGGGAGAUGGUAUAGGAUUAGAAGUAGAUCGUACUAGUUGCGGAGGUGCAAAGGCCUCGCAACGUAGCAAUACUACAAUUCAUGUUUGUUGGCAUCGUAAUACAAGCAUCAGUUACAGCGA
rnacentral:misc_RNA from 1 species